rnacentral:rRNA from 1 species
UACGUAGGGGGCAAGCGUUGUCCGGAAUCAUUGGGCGUAAAGAGCGUGUAGGCGGCCCGGUAAGUCCGCUGUGAAAGCCCCGGGCUCAACCUGGGAAUGGCAUUGGAAACUGGCGAGCUUGAGUGUGGCAGAGGGGGGUGGAAUUCCGCGUGUAGCAGUGAAAUGCGUAGAGAUGCGGAGGAACACCGAUGGCGAAGGCAGCCCCCUGGGCUGACACUGACGCUCAGGCACGAAAGCGUGGGGAGCAAACAGG